GACGAACGCUGGCGGCGUGCCUAAUACAUGCAAGUAGAACGCUGAAGGAGGAGCUUGCUCUUCUGGAUGAGUUGCGAACGGGUGAGUAACGCGUAGGUAACCUGCCUGGUAGCGGGGGAUAACUAUUGGAAACGAUAGCUAAUACCGCAUAAGAGUAGAUGUUGCAUGACAUUUGCUUAAAAGGUGCAAUUGCAUCACUACCAGAUGGACCUGCGUUGUAUUAGCUAGUUGGUGGGGUAACGGCUCACCAAGGCGACGAUACAUAGCCGACCUGAGAGGGGGAUCGGCCACACUUGGACUGGGACACGGCCCAGACUCCUACGGGAGGCAGCAGUAGGGAAUCUUCGGCAAUGGACGGAAGUCUGACCGAGCAACGCCGCGUGAGUGAAGAAGGUUUUCGGAUCGUAAAGCUCUGUUGUAAGAGAAGAACGAGUGUGAGAGUGGAAAGUUCACACUGUGACGGUAUCUUACCAGAAAGGGACGGCUAACUACGUG
rnacentral:rRNA from 1 species